rnacentral:rRNA from 1 species
CACUCCGAAAGGAGUGCUAAUACCGCAUGAUGCAGUUGAGUCGCAUGGCUCUGACUGCCAAAGAUUUAUCGCUCUGAGAUGGCCUCGCGUCUGAUUAGCUAGUAGGCGGGGUAACGGCCCACCUAGGCGACGAUCAGUAGCCGGACUGAGAGGUUGACCGGCCACAUUGGGACUGAGACACGGCCCAGACUCCUACGGGAGGCAGCAGUGGGGAAUAUUGGGCAAUGGGCGCAAGCCUGACCCAGCAACGCCGCGUGAAGGAAGAAGGCUUUCGGGUUGUAAACUUCUUUUGUCAGGGAAGAGUAGAAGACGGUACCUGACGAAUAAGCCACGGCUAACUAC